CAGUGAACGUUCCAGGUUUUAGUGUGAUCAGUGAAUGUUCCAGGUUUCAGUCUGAUCAGUGAACAUUCCAGGUUCCAGUCUGACCAGUGAAUGUUCCAGGUUUUAGUCUGAUCAGUGAAUGUUCCAGGUUUUAGUCUGGUCAGUGAAUGUUCCAGGGUCCAGUCUGAUCAGUGAACGUUCCAGGUUUUAGUCUGAUCAGUGAACAUUCCAGGUUUCAGUCUGAUCAGUGAACAUUCCAGGUUCCAGUCUGACCAGUGAAUGUUCCAGGUUUUAGUCUGAUCAGUGAACAUUCCAGGUUUUAGUGUGAUCAGUGAACAUUCCAGGUUUUAGUCUGAUCAGUGAAUGUUCCAGGUUUUAGUCUGAUCAGUGAAUGUUCCAGGUUCCAGUCUGAUCAGUGAACGUUCCAGGUUUUAGUC